AGUGAACGCUGGCGGUAGGCCUAACACAUGCAAGUCGAACGGCAGCACAGGAGAGCUUGCUCUCUGGGUGGCGAGUGGCGGACGGGUGAGGAAUACAUCGGAAUCUACUUUUUCGUGGGGGAUAACGUAGGGAAACUUACGCUAAUACCGCAUACGACCUACGGGUGAAAGCAGGGGAUCUUCGGACCUUGCGCGAUUGAACGGGCCGAUGUCGGAUUAGCUAGUUGGCGGGGUAAAGGCCCACCAAGGCGACGAUCCGUAGCUGGUCUGAGAGGAUGAUCAGCCACACUGGAACUGAGACACGGUCCAGACUCCUACGGGAGGCAGCAGUGGGGAAUAUUGGACAAUGGGCGCAAGCCUGAUCCAGCCAUACCGCGUGGGUGAAGAAGGCCUUCGGGUUGUAAAGCCCUUUUGUUGGGAAAGAAAUCCAGCUGGUUAAUACCCGGUUGGGAUGACGGUACCCAAAGAAUAAGCACCGGCUAACUUCGUGCCAGCCGCCGCUGUAA
rnacentral:rRNA from 1 species